rnacentral:lncRNA from 1 species
GAAUUGCACGGACACGGGGUGCUUGGGAGCUCUGUUCGUGGGAGAUUAGAUCAUAGAUCCUAGGAUGCGGACGGAUGAGGGAGCUGAUAGCAUGGCUUUGGAUGCUGUGGAUCACUCACGGAAGAAGAGGAUGAGCUGCACGUGGACUCCAUCGGGCUGAGAUGCACGGGCUUCUGGAAAUUGGUUGCAGUGAACUGGCUGGCUGAACUUAGGUUCCUUCUAGUGUGCAUCUAGGGUUGAACCAUUCAGUUAACUGCAUCUUUUUGGACCCAAUGCGUAUUUUAGCUUUGAUUUAUGAUCACCUGUAUCCAACAAAAAUAAAAUAUUAAUGCAG